rnacentral:sRNA from 1 species
GCCGGAUGCAGUGGUGCACGCCUGUAAUCCCAGCGACUCAGGAGGCUGAGGCAGGAGGAUCGUGAGUUCAAAGCCAACCUCAGCAAAAGCGAGGCACUAAGCAACUCAGUGAGACCCUGUCUCUA